UACGGGGGGAGCAAGCGUUGUUCGGAUUUACUGGGCGUAAAGGGCGCGUAGGCGGCGUGACAAGUCACUUGUGAAAUCUCCGGGCUUAACUCGGAACGGUCAAGUGAUACUGCAGUGCUAGAGUGUGGAAGGGGCAAUCGGAAUUCUUGGUGUAGCGGUGAAAUGCGUAGAUAUCAAGAGGAACACCUGAGGUGAAGACGGGUUGCUGGGCCAACACUGACGCUGAUGCGCGAAAGCCCAGGGGAGCAAACGGG
rnacentral:rRNA from 1 species